UGUUUGAGUGCCGAGAAGCCAUUGAUAGGUCUCCUGACCUUGUUGACUAUGCUUCCAGCUGAUGUUAGGCCCCUUGAGGGGGACACCUAGAUGCAUCAGAAGCAGGACAUGGAGCCAGUGACCUUUGAUGAUGUGCUAUGAAGUUCACCCUAGCAGAGUGGGAUCUGUUGGAUUCUUCUCAAAAGAAGCUCUACACAGAUGUGAUGAUGAACCUUAUCUCCAUAGGGAAAACAGAGGAAGAAAAUAUUGCUGUGGACUGCC